rnacentral:rRNA from 1 species
GAGCUUGCUCCAUGAUUCAGCGGCGGACGUGUUGAGUAAUGCCUAGGAAUCUGCCUGGUAGUGGGGGACAACGUUUCGAAAGGAACGCUAAUACCGCAUACGUCCUACGGGAGAAAGCAGGGGACCUUCGGGCCUUGCGCUAUCAGAUGAGCCUAGGUCGGAUUAGCUAGUAGGUGAGGUAAUGGCUCACCUAGGCGACGAUCCGUAACUGGUCUGAGAGGAUGAUCAGUCACACUGGAACUGAGACACGGUCCAGACUCCUACGGGAGGCAGCAGUGGGGAAUAUUGGACAAUGGGCGAAAGCCUGAUCCAGCCAUGCCGCGUGUGUGAAGAAGGUCUUCGGAUUGUAAAGCACUUUAAGUUGGGAGGAAGGGCAGUAAGUUAAUACCUUGCUGUUUUGACGUUACCAACAGAAUAAGCACCGGCUAACUUCGUGCCAGCAGCCGCGGUAAUACGAAGGGUGCAAGCGUUAAUCGGAAUUACUGGGCGUAAAGCGCGCGUAGGUGGUUCAGCAAGUUGGAGGUGAAAUCCCCGGGCUCAACCUGGGAACUGCCUCCAAAACUACUGAGCUAGAGUACGGUAGAGGGUAGUGGAAUUUCCUGUGUAGCGGUGAAAUGCGUAGAUAUAGGAAGGAACACCAGUGGCGAAGGCGACUACCUGGACUGAUACUGACACUGA